CCUACGGGUGGCAGCAGUGGGGAAUAUUGCACAAUGGGGGGAACCCUGAUGCAGCAACGCCGCGUGGGUGAAGAAGUACUCCGGUAUGUAAAGCCCUGUCAGCAGGGAAGAAAAUGACGGUACCUGACCAAGAAGCCCCGGCUAACUACGAGCCAGAAGCCGCGGUAAUACGUAGGGGGCAAGCGUUAUCCGGAUUGACUGGGUGUAAAGGGCGCGUAGACGGCAAUGCAAGUCUGGAGGGAAAGCCCGUGGCCCAACCACGGGCCUGCUUUUGAAACUGUGUUGCUGGAGUGAAGGAGGGGUCAGCGGAUUUCCUCGUGUAGCGGUGAAAUGCUUAGAUAUUAGGCGGAACCCCGGUGGCGACGGCGGCUUACUGGACUGUAACUGACGUUGAGGCUCGAAGGCGUGGGGAGCAAACAGGAUUAGAUACCCCGGUAGUC
rnacentral:rRNA from 1 species